GUGCUUAUUUUGGCAGCACAUAUACUAAAUUGGAAUGAUACAGAGAUUAGCAUGACCUCUGUGAAAGGAUGACACGCAAAUGCAUGACUGUUCCUUUUUUUUU